GAGUAGGGCGGGACACGUGGUAUCCUGUCUGAAUAUGGGGGGACCAUCCUCCAAGGCUAAAUACUCCUGACUGACCGAUAGUGAACCAGUACCGUGAGGGAAAGGCGAAAAGAACCCCGGCGAGGGGAGUGAAAAAGAACCUGAAACCGUGUACGUACAAGCAGUGGGAGCACAGAGCAAUCUGUGUGACUGCGUACCUUUUGUAUAAUGGGUCAGCGACUUAUAUUCUGUAGCAAGGUUAACCGAAUAGGGGAGCCGAAGGGAAACCGAGUCUUAACCGGGCGUUAAGUUGCAGGGUAUAGACCCGAAACCCGGUGAUCUAGCCAUGGGCAGGUUGAAGGUUGGGUAACACUAACUGGAGGACCGAACCGACUAAUGUUGAAAAAUUAGCGGAUGACUUGUGGCUGGGGGUGAAAGGCCAAUCAAACCGGGAGAUAGCUGGUUCUCCCCGAAAGCUAUUUAGGUAGCGCCUCGUGAAUUCAUCUCCGGGGGUAGAGCACUGUUUCGGCAAGGGGGUCAUCCCGACUUACCAACCCGAUGCAAACUGCGAAUACCGGAGAAUGUUAUCACGGGAGACACACGGCGGGUGCUAACGUCCGUCGUGAAGAGGGAAACAACCCAGACCGCCAGCUAAGGUCCCAAAGUCAUGGUUAAGUGGGAAACGAUGUGGGAAGGCCCAGACAGCCAGGAUGUUGGCUUAGAAGCAGCCAUCAUUUAAAGAAAGCGUAAUAGCUCACUGGUCGAGUCGGCCUGCGCGGAAGAUGUAACGGGGCUAAACCAUGCACCGAAGCUGCGGCAGCGACACUGUGUGUUGUUGGGUAGGGGAGCGUUCUGUAAGCCUGUGAAGGUGUGCUGUGAGGCAUGCUGGAGGUAUCAGAAGUGCGAAUGCUGACAUAAGUAACGAUAAAGCGGGUGAAAAGCCCGCUCGCCGGAAGACCAAGGGUUCCUGUCCAACGUUAAUCGGGGCAGGGUGAGUCGACCCCUAAGGCGAGGCCGAAAGGCGUAGUCGAUGGGAAACAGGUUAAUAUUCCUGUACUUGGUGUUACUGCGAAGGGGGGACGGAGAAGGCUAUGUUGGCCGGGCGACGGUUGUCCCGGUUUAAGCGUGUAGGCUGGUUUUCCAGGCAAAUCCGGAAAAUCAAGGCUGAGGCGUGAUGACGAGGCACUACGGUGCUGAAGCAACAAAUGCCCUGCUUCCAGGAAAAGCCUCUAAGCAUCAGGUAACAUCAAAUCGUACCCCAAACCGACACAGGUGGUCAGGUAGAGAAUACCAAGGCGCUUGAGAGAACUCGGGUGAAGGAACUAGGCAAAAUGGUGCCGUAACUUCGGGAGAAGGCACGCUGAUAUGUAGGUGAAGUCCCUCGCGGAUGGAGCUGAAAUCAGUCGAAGAUACCAGCUGGCUGCAACUGUUUAUUAAAAACACAGCACUGUGCAAACACGAAAGUGGACGUAUACGGUGUGACGCCUGCCCGGUGCCGGAAGGUUAAUUGAUGGGGUCAGCGCAAGCGAAGCUCUUGAUCGAAGCCCCGGUAAACGGCGGCCGUAACUAUAACGGUCCUAAGGUAGCGAAAUUCCUUGUCGGGUAAGUUCCGACCUGCACGAAUGGCGUAAUGAUGGCCAGGCUGUCUCCACCCGAGACUCAGUGAAAUUGAACUCGCUGUGAAGAUGCAGUGUACCCGCGGCAAGACGGAAAGACCCCGUGAACCUUUACUAUAGCUUGACACUGAACAUUGAGCCUUGAUGUGUAGGAUAGGUGGGAGGCUUUGAAGUGUGGACGCCAGUCUGCAUGGAGCCGACCUUGAAAUACCACCCUUUAAUGUUUGAUGUUCUAACGUGGACCCGUGAUCCGGGUUGCGGACAGUGUCUGGUGGGUAGUUUGACUGGGGCGGUCUCCUCCUAAAGAGUAACGGAGGAGCACGAAGGUUGGCUAAUCCUGGUCGGACAUCAGGAGGUUAGUGCAAUGGCAUAAGCCAGCUUGACUGCGAGCGUGACGGCGCGAGCAGGUGCGAAAGCAGGUCAUAGUGAUCCGGUGGUUCUGAAUGGAAGGGCCAUCGCUCAACGGAUAAAAGGUACUCCGGGGAUAACAGGCUGAUACCGCCCAAGAGUUCAUAUCGACGGCGGUGUUUGGCACCUCGAUGUCGGCUCAUCACAUCCUGGGGCUGAAGUAGGUCCCAAGGGUAUGGCUGUUCGCCAUUUAAAGUGGUACGCGAGCUGGGUUUAGAACGUCGUGAGACAGUUCGGUCCCUAUCUGCCGUGGGCGCUGGAGAACUGAGGGGGGCUGCUCCUAGUACGAGAGGACCGGAGUGGACGCAUCACUGGUGUUCGGGUUGUCAUGCCAAUGGCACUGCCCGGUAGCUAAAUGCGGAAGAGAUAAGUGCUGAAAGCAUCUAAGCACGAAACUUGCCCCGAGAUGAGUUCUCCCUGACCCUUUAAGGGUCCUGAAGGAACGUUGAAGACGACGACGUUGAUAGGCCGGGUGUGUAAGCGCAGCGAUGCGUUGAGCUAACCGGUACUAAUGAACCGUGAGGCUUAACCUUACAACGCCGAAGGUGUUU
rnacentral:rRNA from 1 species